rnacentral:rRNA from 1 species
UACAGAGGGGGCAAGCGUUAUUCGGAAUUAUUGGGCGUAAAGGGCUCGUAGGCGGUUUGUCGCGUCGGGAGUGAAAACACUGGGCUUAACUCAGUGCUUGCUUCCGAUACGGGCAGACUAGAGGUAUGCAGGGGAGAACGGAAUUCCUGGUGUAGCGGUGAAAUGCGCAGAUAUCAGGAGGAACACCGGUGGCGAAGGCGGUUCUCUGGGCAUUACCUGACGCUGAGGAGCGAAAGUGUGGGGAGCGAACAGG